AUUGAACGCUGGCGGCAGGCUUAACACAUGCAAGUCGAGCGGAGAUGAGGUGCUUGCACCUUAUCUUAGCGGCGGACGGGUGAGUAAUGCUUAGGAAUCUGCCUAUUAGUGGGGGACAACAUUCCGAAUGGAAUGCUAAUACCGCAUACGUCCUACGGGAGAAAGCAGGGGAUCUUCGGACCUUGCGCUAAUAGAUGAGCCUAAGGCGGAUUAGCUAGUUGGGGGGGUAAAGGCGUACCAAGGCGACGAUCGGUAGCGGGUCUGAGAGGAUGGCCCGCCACAUUGGAAUGGGAACACGACCAAGCUCCCUAGGGGGGGAAGAGGUGGGAAUAUUGGACAAUGGGGGGAACCCUGAUCCAGCCAUGCCGCGUGUGUGAAGAAGGCCUUAUGGUUGUAAAGCACUUUAAGCGAGGAGGAGGCUACUGAGACUAAUACUCUUGGAUAGUGGACGUUACUCGCAGAAUAAGCACCGGCUAACUCUGUGCCAGCAGCCGCGGUAAGAC
rnacentral:rRNA from 1 species